UAAAGAGAGGAGAUUGAAAUUUUCUUGAUAUCCCACCCGUCUUUACUCUCAUUUGUAAAAACCCUUCCCACCAUCAAACCGUUUCACCUUCAUUUCCCCUUUCCUCCCUCUCUUUAUUUCUCAACCCCGAAAGAUAGAAGGAAUGCAGAGGCAAAAGAAGGGUUCCACUGCAAAAAACCCUUAAAAACAGAGAGGAAAGAUCAACAGAGGGGUUAGGGUUUAGUACCACUGGCAGAGGGUGAUGUGAAAAAGGAGAAUGUUAAGUGGUCUCAUUUGGGUUUAUUACUCUGAUUGAUGGAAGCGAAGAUGUGUUCGUUCACCAAUCAGCACACCCAGAAGAAGCAGCAAUGGAGGUGGGUGCAACACAAAAUUCCAAGAAAGAAAACCCCACUUGUUUGCAGAGCAGUAGAGAAGAAAGCGCAAGAAAAAGGGAAAAGAAAUUAAGUUGGAAACUUCUCUCUUCUCUCUAUUUGUAUCUCUUUAUGGCAUUGAGUGCAAGAAUCUUGGCCAAAGGAGGGAGCUGUUGCUGACUAAGUUUCAAGAGAAGCACAAAACACUAAGUUCAGGUAAUACUAUGAUUUCAAUCAGAAAAUUGAAGGUGUUGAAGUGUGGCUAUUUGAGAUGUAUGAUCAAGAAUUUGAAUCUGAAUGCCAGCAGCUUAACUUAUCAUCACUGAGUCUACCUAUGUUACCUAGACUUACUUAAGUGUUUGAGUCCAGAGGUCAAAGCAGUGACUGAAGAAGCUUUGCAAUCAUUUGUGUACCAUGAAAUUUUGGCAAGUUUUCUAAACUCAUUGCUCUUUUGCUACAUUGUAGUUGCAAUUUCUGGUGCGCUAGUACCCAUAAUAUUCUUAUAUUUAAAGAUUGGAUACUUAGAAAUCUGCAAAAAGCGUGGUUUCACAAGCUAUUAUAUGUGGGCUUGCCCUUUGUUGUAAGGGGAAGGUUACAUUUUGUAUUGCCACCCACAAAUUCAGAAGACAUCAAAAUCAUGUAUACUUGGGGAGUGGUAAGUUUGGUGGUUGUUUGAUUAUGGACUGUAGAUUGCGAGUUGUGAGGUAAUUUGUCCCACUAUUUUACUUGAAUUAUUGUCUUAGUUUCAAUUACUUGUCCAUGCUAAGAAAAUCUGCAAGGGAAAAUAUUGAAAUUGACUCACAAAAAAGAUGACGGAAAGAGCUCUGAAGGCAUCUGGCCAAACUGAUCUUUCUAACAAUGCAUCAAAGCAUCUGCUGUUCAUGCACAAAGUAAUUUUGUUGUCAAAAUUGCGAAGUUUGCUUGUCCUUUUCAGUGUUGUAAGCAAGGAUUCGUUUUACUUUAGCAUCUAUCAAAUUUUGAUAUUGUUGUCAUUGUCCUACUAUAUCACAAUUUUAUGUGCAUUUACCUAUGUAUACAAUUUCAGUUUAUUAUGUCGUGUCCUACGCCUUUAUUUCAUUCUUUGUGCGACUCUUUUCCUCACACGGAUGAAGAAGAAUUGUGGCUGCUGCUCCUGUUUCUUGGUUCUCAAACUUACUGUGUUUAUAUAGCUGGGUGGAACAAUAUUUUCUAGUGAAGGAAAGCUUCAUCAUAGUGCACAUACAGCUUGCAUGCACUGCUGCUGCUGCAUUCUGAUGGUUGCUGGAAAUCGUUAGCUUUGCAGACAAUGCAAAUUUUUUAGCUAUGGACAAGCUGCUAAGAAAGAAACAUGGUCCUUUUGAUGUGCCAAUAUACGCGGAUCAUAUUCGAUAUGUGCCAAAGCAUGUGUGCUGGGUCAAAAGCUUGAAUAUGAAGUCUUUAGAGCACGGCCUCCUCUUUGGAAUGUGGUGCUUCAAAAUGAGGCUGCUAAUGCUGAUGAAGAUCUUGAGCAUUUUGAAGGUUGUGAGUUUAUUCCAACUACAUAUAGCGGGAUUUUGAGAAGCAUGGGUGCUUGAGUUUUACAUUUAAAAUCCAAAAAAAGGCAUUGCAAAAUUUGAUCAUUACUUUGCAUGAACACUAUAUAAGAAUUAUAUUGAGAUAAGCAACUGGUACCUUUAUGCAGAUAUGCUCUUAGUUUUAUUUUAGUGUCACAGGUUAGUCAUUGUUUCAUAUGUAUACUUACUACUAUACUUCCUCAAUUUCAUGAGCAAUGCAAUGCAGAUAAAGUAGGCUGGUGGAGCUCAUGGCACUUGCCUCACAUGUCCACCCCUUGAUAGUUGCAGCCAUAUCGAAAUAAUUUUCAUGAUUAU